rnacentral:rRNA from 1 species
GUGGGGAAUAUUGCGCAAUGGGCGAAAGCCUGACGCAGCGACGCCGCGUGAGGGAUGAAGGUCUUCGGAUCGUAAACCUCUGUCAGAAGGGAAGAAGUUAUGACGUGCUAAUCAACGUCAUAUUGACGGUACCUUCAAAGGAAGCACCGGCUAACUCCGUGCCAGCAGCCGCGGUAAUACGGAGGGUGCGAGCGUUAAUCGGAAUUACUGGGCGUAAAGCGCAUGUAGGCCGUGUGGCAAGUUAGGGGUGAAAUCCCAGGGCUCAACCUUGGAACUGCCUCUAAAACUACCAUGCUUGAGUGCGAGAGAGGAUAGCGGAAUUCCAGGUGUAGGAGUGAAAUCCGUAGAUAUCUGGAAGAACAUCAGUGGCGAAGGCGGCUAUCUGGCUCGUAACUGACGCUGAGAUGCGAAAGCGUGGGUAGCAAACAGG